rnacentral:rRNA from 1 species
AGAGUUUGAUCCUGGCUCAGAGCGAACGCUGGCGGCAGGCCUAACACAUGCAAGUCGAACGAGCUCUUCGGAGCUAGUGGCAGACGGGUGAGUAACGCGUGGGAACGUGCCCUUUGGUUCGGAACAACUCAGGGAAACUUGAGCUAAUACCGGAUGUGCCCUUCGGGGGAAAGAUUUAUCGCCAUUGGAGCGGCCCGCGUUGGAUUAGGUAGUUGGUGAGGUAAAGGCUCACCAAGCCUACGAUCCAUAGCUGGUCUGAGAGGAUGAUCAGCCACACUGGGACUGAGACACGGCCCAGACUCCUACGGGAGGCAGCAGUGGGGAAUCUUGCGCAAUGGGCGAAAGCCUGACGCAGCCAUGCCGCGUGAAUGAUGAAGGUCUUAGGAUUGUAAAAUUCUUUCAGCAGGGACGAUAAUGACGGUACCUGCAGAAGAAGCCCCGGCUAACUUCGUGCCAGCAGCCGCGGUAAUACGAAGGGGGCUAGCGUUGCUCGGAAUUACUGGGCGUAAAGGGAGCGUAGGCGGGUCGUCAAGUUGGGGGUGAAAGCCCAGGGCUCAACCCUGGAACUGCCUUCAAAACUGGCGACCUAGAGUAUGGUAGAGGUGUGUGGAACUCCGAGUGUAGAGGUGAAAUUCGUAGAUAUUCGGAAGAACACCAGUGGCGAAGGCGACACACUGGGCCAUUACUGACGCUGAGGCUCGAAAGCGUGGGGAGCAAACAGGAUUAGAUACCCUAGUAGUCC